rnacentral:rRNA from 1 species
AUGCUAAUAUUUAUUUGUCCAUGUUACAGGUACUUUGUUGUUGUUGAUGAUAUAUGGAACGUGAAUACCUGGGAUAUCAUUAAUUGUGCAUUCCCUGCUACAAGUUCUACCAGUAGAAUAAUCACGACCACUCGUAUAAACAGUGUCGCUCAUUCAUGUUGUUCAUCAUUCAGUGUUCGUAUUUACAAUAUAAGGGCUCUUGAUAUGGUGCACUCAAGAUAGUUAUUUCACAGAAGGUUAUUCAAGUCCGAUGAAGAUUGCCCUUCAUACCUUCAAGAAAUUUCUGAGCUGAUAUUGAAAUGCCAUGGGUUACCUUUGGCGAUCAUUGCUAUAUCUGGUUUGUUGGCUAACAUAGAAAAAAUAGAACAUCUAUGAAAUCAUGUGAAAGAUUCAAUUGGUCUCGCACUUGAAAGGAAUUCUAGUGUCGAAGGAAUGAUGAAGAUAUUGUCACUUAGUUAUUUUGAUCUGCCUCGUUAUUUGAAAACAUGUCUCUUAUAUCUGAGCAUGUAUCUCGAAGAUUCUACUAUUGCGAAGUAUGGCCUGAUAAGAAGAUGGAUUGCUGAAGGAUUCAUUCAAACAAAAGGCAGAUACAUGGCAUAUGAGUUAGGAGAAAGGUGUUUUAACGAACUACUAAAUAAGGGUUUGAUCCAACCUGGGAGGACAGAUAAUUAUGGCAUAGUGAUGAGUUGUCGAGUUCAUGACACAAAACUUGAUUUCAUCAUAUUCAAGUCCAUAGAACAGAACUUUGUUACUUUGCUUGGUGUUCCCAUUCUGACAAUUGGGAACAAAGCAAAGGUUCGUCGACUCUGUCUACAAGGUGUCAAGGAAGGAAUUUCAACAGUAUUGAUAGCAGAUCUCGUGUUUUCCCAUGUCCGAUCACUUACUAUGGUUAGAGGUCUAUUGGAAAUCCCUUCUUUGGAAAAGUUCAAACAUCUACGUGUUCUCAACUUGAUGUAUUGCUCUGAAUUGGAAGAUCAUCAUCUAGAUAAUAUAGUGAGGCUGUUCCAGCUGAGGUACCUGAACCUCAAACAUACAAGAAUAAGGAAGCUGCCAGAACAAAUUGGUCAUUUACGUUGCUUAGAGAUGCUGGACCUACAACACACUUGUGUAGAGGAAUUACCUGCAUCUAUUGUUAAUCUCAGAUUGAUGGAUCUACUUGUCGGUGAUGAUGUUAAAUUUCCUGAAGGGAUUGCAAAGAUGCAAGCACUUGAGACGUUGGAACAUGUCAAUGCCGUCAUUCAGCCAUUAGACUUCUUGUGCGGCCUUGGUCAACUAAUGAAUUUGAGGAAUCUAGGGCUUACCCUUGAUUUUGAUUUUGAUUCUGAAAUUGAGGAUACAGAUGUGGAGUGCAAGAAAUGUAUCCUCUCUUCCCUGUGUAAGCUAGGUAUCCAGAGUCUCCGCUCCCUGACUAUUUGGCAUGAGGAUUGCAGCCUCUUACAUGGGGAAUCUUUGUGCUUGCCUACCCUUGAGGUCCUUAUUAUAUAGUAUGUUCCAGCCUUCCGGCAGUUUCCGACAUGGGUGGUCUCCCUCAGAAACCUCCAACGGCUACACCUUGCUGUGGAGGGGCUGAAGUAGGACGAUCUCUGUAUCCUUGGGUUACCCAGUCUGCUCGUUUUGCAUCUGGGGGGAGAAAGAGAGUCAAAAGGAAAGCUCAGAAUCAAUGGUGAAGUUGGGUUCCGACCCUUGAAGAUUUUUAUUUAUCAUGCACGUUCUAAACCAGUAGAUCUGAUGUUUGGGGCAGUGUCCAUGCCCAAGCUUGAAAAACUAGAGCUUCACUUAUUGCGUCUAGUUGAAGCUGACUCUCCUGGCUUUGGAAUCGGGAACAUUCCCUGCCUCAGUAUCAUCACAUUUAUUACAGUUCGUGGUGAUCAUGACAUUGUUGAAGCAGUGAAGAUUGCCAUGAAGAAUCGUCCGUCCGUUUUAUGA